AUUGAACGCUGGCGGCAUGCUUUACACAUGCAAGUCGAACGGUAACAGGCCGCAAGGUGCUGACGAGUGGCGAACGGGUGAGUAAUGCAUCGGAACGUGCCCAGUCGUGGGGGAUAACGCAGCGAAAGUUGCGCUAAUACCGCAUACGAUCUAUGGAUGAAAGCGGGGGACCGUAAGGCCUCGCGCGAUUGGAGCGGCCGAUGUCAGAUUAGGUAGUUGGUGGGGUAAAGGCUCACCAAGCCGACGAUCUGUAGCUGGUCUGAGAGGACGACCAGCCACACUGGGACUGAGACACGGCCCAGACUCCGACGGGAGGCAGCAGUGGGGAAUUUUGGACAAGGGGCGCAAGCCUGAUCCAGCAAUGCCGCGUGCAGGAAGAAGGCCUUCGGGUUGUAAACUGCUUUUGUACGGAACGAAACGGUCCUGGUUAAUACCCGGGGCUAAUGACGGUACCGUAAGAAUAAGCACCGGCUAACUACGUGCCAGCCGCCGCCGUAACAC
rnacentral:rRNA from 1 species